GACACGCCUCCUUCCAUGUAUGGUACUAGUACGUUGUUCAUCAACAAUGUGGGUGCGGUAGCGGGCAUUUUGGCGCCUGCGGUUAUAGGCUUCCUCAUGCAGCACAAUCCAUCCCCAGGCACCUGGAAGGCUGUCUUUGUUGUUACAACUGCCAUUGCCUUCAUUAGUGCCUCCCUAUGUACAGUACUUGGUCUGAUCAAACUGCAAUCCUGGAAUGACCCCAAGGCUCAAGACAUGGAGCGAAGCCCUCAGCAACCACUUGCACCACAUCAACUUUCAGGUGAAGGGUAACACUAGAAGAAAUUUGAAGAGUCUACAAUACACAAAAUGUGUUCAUUUAACAUUAUAUAACCCUUUCCACUACCGCCCACAAGAUGGGUAUGGGGUGCAUAAUAAAUGAAGUAAACUAAAACUAAAAACAUUAUAUAUUGUAUGAAUACAAUACGCCUUUUACAUACAA